ACGAACGCUGGCGGCGUGCCUAAUACAUGCAAGUAGAACGCUGAAGGAGGAGCUUGCUUCUCCGGAUGAGUUGCGAACGGGUGAGUAACGCGUAGGUAACCUGCCUGGUAGCGGGGGAUAACUAUUGGAAACGAUAGCUAAUACCGCAUAACAGUAGAUGUUGCAUGACAUUUGCUUAAAAGGUGCAAUUGCAUCACUACCAGAUGGACCUGCGUUGUAUUAGCUAGUUGGUGAGGUAACUGCUAACCAAGGCGACGAUACAUAGCCGACCUGAGAGGGUGAUCAGCCACACUGGGACUGAGACACGGCCCAGACUCCUACGGGAGGGAGCAGUAGGGAAUCUUCGGCAAUGGACGGGAGUCUGACCGAGCAACGCCGCGUGAGCGAAGAAGGUUUUCGGAUCGUAAAGCUCUGUUGUAAGAGAAGAACGAGUGUGAGAGUGGAAAGUUCACACUGUGACGGUAUCUUACCAGAAAGGGACGGCUAACUACGUG
rnacentral:rRNA from 1 species